rnacentral:rRNA from 1 species
UACGGUGGGUGCGAGCGUUGUCCGGAAUCAUUGGGCGUAAAGGGCGCGUAGGUGGCCCGGUCAGUUCGUGGUGAAAGCGCGGGGCUCAACCCUGCGUCGGCCAUGAAUACUGCCGCGGCUGGAGCACUGUAGAGGCAGGCGGAAUUCCGGGUGUAGCGGUGGAAUGCGUAGAGAUCCGGAAGAACACCGGUGGCGAAGGCGGCCUGCUGGGCAGUUGCUGACGCUGAGGAGCGAAAGCGUGGGGAGCGAACAGG